AACCUGGCAAAGGGAGGCUGCGCGCGUUCUCCAAAAGCGGCCCAGCUCACGCCCCCUGUCAUGGAGCAGGAGGGCCCUUGAGGAGCUCGGGCAGGGGAGAGGGCCGACCGCCGAGGGCGGUGCCACAGAGGGACCCUUGGCCGGGAGGCGGGCCGGGCGCACACGUGCAGCGGAGGGAAGGCGGAGAAUCGCUGAACCUGCCACUGGCCCGGCGGGGCGGUCCUGGCUGAGCUGCUGCACUGUACAGUGGUCGAACGCUCAUGGCUGGGCAGCAUGCUGCUACUGUUGCUUCUGCACACAGCGUCUCCCUUUAAGUAUCCUCCGGCGCAGCGAUGCCUCGCAGGAUGGAGAAGUUCUUGCAAAUUGCUCCGCACUCCUUGGCCAUCGUCCUGAGCUCCUGCGGCGGGGAGAAGGCAGCCUCGCAGCCGGCCAGGCAACUAAGAGAGGAGCUGCAGGAGGACUGCGCUGAGGAGCUGCAGGAGGACGGGGAAGGUGAGGGCAAGCGGCAGCGACCAGCCGGGGGAGGGCCGGGACCGCCACCCGCCGCCGAUUCGCUGGAGCGCCACCACAUCGGCUACGAGAUAUUCGCUGACUUCAAGCAGGAGAAUAUGCAGCAUUUCUGGAACAAGAAAGUGACAGCGGCGGUGGCCGAGACCUUCUUCCUGGGCUGGAUCGACGAGCAGGUGCUGCUGAUCCAGGGCAAGGAGGAGCACCUGGAGGUGCUGCGCGAGGGCUGGAUGCGCAGGUCCCUCAAGCCCCCCGCGGGCUUUCGAAUCAAGUGCCUGGAAUCUGGUGUUUGCUGCUGUUCUGUUCUCUGAAUGGAUUUAGCUGCGACAUAUAUUAUGCGGAUUGACACUCUCCAUUUCACAAUGAGCUCAUGGGUGUUCUCUUCCUUUAAGCCAUAUUUUGCAACUUUUCACUUGUCUUUUACAUAGAAUUGAAGGGACCUUGGAAGUCAUCUAAUCCAGCCCCCUUGUUCAGUGCAGGAUCUGCAACGAAGGUUGCAGCUACAGCCUUUGCUUAAAUAUCUCCAGGGAAAUUUAUUAGUUAUGUAAGUACAGUAUACAGAAAAAUGAUAAAAGUCUCCCCAGCAGCAUAUUAAAGGAUUUGGAACUAUUCUACCAUACGAAAUUUUGGCAAUCAGAGUCAUUCCGAACAGUAACCAGUAGAAAAAAUGGGGGAGGGGGAAGAGAGUUAUCACAGUAAAGAAAUGAUUUAGUAUGCAUGAAAAUAUUAUACCUUACCUGGAAAAUGUAAUUUGUAAAGUAAAGUGGAGAAUACUGCUUCUAUUUUUUGUUAUGAAGUUUAAAUCUUAAUUUUGUCAUUUAUUCUAUUGUAUGGAAGCAUGAAUGAAUGAAUGAAAGAUUUUUUUAAAAAAGCUCUCAUAUAGUUCUCCCUGCCCAGCUGCACAUGACUGAGGCCUAUUCUGCAAAGUGAACCCAAAGUUAUGGUUAGGAUUAUUUUGCUAAUUCCCUCACACCACAGAAAUGCACAUUGUUACUGACCUUUCCCCACUGUUAAUAGAUAUGAUGAAUUAUUGCUGAACUAUUCCCCACUGAAGUAUUCAAAUAUGUAUAUUUUGAUUCUGUGUCUCUGUGUGCUCAAUAAAUAUCCCCAUUAAAAAAAAAAGGUAUUGUCAGAUGCUCAGCACCAUACCACUGCCCCGUUUGUCUUUAGUUUUCCCUUAAUGGAACUUUUGUUUCCUUUUCAUGUGAACCGAUUUUUUAG